AGAGUUUGAUCCGUGGCUUAGGACGAACGCUGGCGGCGUGCUUAAUAUAUGCAAGUUGAGCGGAGCUAAUAGUGAGUUUACUAUUAUUAGUCGAGCAGCGGACGGGUGAGUAACGCGUGGGCAAUCUGCCCUCUAGUUUGGGAUAACAGUUCGAAAGGACUGCUAACACCGAAUAAUCUUAAAUUUGGGCAUCUAAAAUUUAAGGAAAGUUAACGCUAGAGGAUGAGCCCGCGUCCCAUUAGCUAGUUGGUGAGGUAACGGCCCACCAAGGCAACGAUGGGUAGCCGACCUGAGAGGGUGACCGGCCACACUGGGACUGAGACACGGCCCAGACUCCUACGGGAGGCAGCAGUAGGGAAUUUUCCGCAAUGGAACCGAAAGUCUGACGGAGCAACGCCGCGUGAGGGAUGAAGGUUUUCGGAUCGUAAACCUCUGUCCUUGGGGAAGAUAAUGACGGUACCCAAGGAGGAAGCCACGGCUAACUACGUGCCAGCCGCUGC
rnacentral:rRNA from 1 species